GAUGAACGCUGGCGGCGUGCCUAAUACAUGCAAGUCGAGCGAACAGACGAGGAGCUUGCUCCUCUGACGUUAGCGGCGGACGGGUGAGUAACACGUGGAUAACCUACCUAUAAGACUGGGAUAACUUCGGGAAACCGGAGCUAAUACCGGAUAAUAUAUUGAACCGCAUGGUUCAAUAGUGAAAGACGGUUUUGCUGUCACUUAUAGAUGGAUCCGCGCCGCAUUAGCUAGUUGGUAAGGUAACGGCUUACCAAGGCAACGAUGCGUAGCCGACCUGAGAGGGUGAUCGGCCACACUGGAACUGAGACACGGUACAGACUCCUACGGGAGGCAGCAGUAGGGAAUCUUCCGCAAGGGGCGAAAGCCUGACGGAGCAACGCCGCGUGAGUGAUGAUGGUCUUCGGAUCGUAAAACUCUGUUAUUAGGGAAGAACAAAUGUGUAAGUAACUAUGCACGUCUUGACGGUACCUAAUCAGAAAGCCACGGCUAACUACGUG
rnacentral:rRNA from 1 species